GUAAGUAUAGUUUAAAUAAAAUGUUAGAUUGUGAUUCUAAAGACAGGGGCUAAAAUCCCCUUACUAACC
rnacentral:tRNA from 1 species